rnacentral:lncRNA from 1 species
GGACUUUCCAGAGUAAGGCUGCCGGAUUGGGACCACACUGUGCCAUUAUGGUAGGUAUCACAAAGACCAGGCCGCUUACAUUAUGGUUUUUCAGCGGCAGCAUCUGAUCUGAAGCCAGAUUAAUUUAAUAGAGUACUUCCCGUUGAUUUCAUUGCAGACCAGAUCAGGAGAAGAGUCACCACGUGGCUGCCUUGGGAUGAAAUGGUAGAAGGAAGUGUCCUUGAAGUUGUUUCACAGGCUCCUCCAAGCUCAGGACCGCUCUUGCUCAGCCGUGCUCACCCCACUUCAGGCCUGCAGCCUCUCUCCAAGCAACAGCACCCAGUCAGCCUCAAGAGCUCUCCCUCCCUGCAGGGCCCUCACUUGUUCCAUAUUUGCUGCAGCUGUUGCUAAGUUGAAUCCCUUGAAUGUUCAACUCGUAGAAUUGCAGGGUAUUUACAAACUUGUGGCUGUAUCUGGUAAGUUUGUGAGGGGUACAGAUGAGUAUAGCAAGCGUUUUGAAAGCAUGAAUAGAAGAGGUCAAGUUUUCAAAUCCAUUUCUUUAACAUAAAGCUCUGUUUGCUAUUUGUUGUUUCUUGACACCUGUGGUAAACUUUCUUCAAGUGUUUCUGUAUGGAUUUCUCAAAGCUGUAUGCUCAGUUCAGUUGUGAACACGUUCACUUCAUCAGCAACUGACCAUCCUCUCUGGUAACAAACUCAUCCCCUGGGCUCCUGACUGCUGCUCCAGACAAUCUAAUACACACCAGCAGUCUUCCCUGUCCUGCUCUUAUCUGUUCAACAGGGGUGAGAUGUUUGCAUAGGAGUGGAAUUUGGGGUGGGGAGAAUAUUUAUAUGAUACAAGCAUGUGUCUAGGCCUUGUUCAGCUCCUGACCCUAACACAGGCUUUCUUGGUGAUCUUCAAUACCUCUCUUCAUUCCUAUAUGACUCAACUUCCUAGCUGUUAAGUAACGAGGGUUAAAACCCAUUUGGAAUCACCAAUGUGCACACAUAUGGGGUUGCGAGGGACCUACUGACAGGUAAAUAAGCAGGAAGAUGAGAAGAUAUUUGCUGUCACAGGUUGAAGCUGUUUUCCUACCCACCUCUCUGCAGAGAAAUUGAAAACGAGAGAAGGAUUGCACCUUCUCAGUUGGCCAGAUCAUCGCAGAGACCGAUUCUCCAUUUUUUUUGUUAGAGUCUCUCUCACUUCAGUUGUCAUUCGGUGAAUAUCUUAUUUAUUUAUAUAUAUAUAUAUUAUUAUUUUUUUCACUUGUAUAUCUAUUCUACUUCUAGCUUUGUUAUUCUGAGUUCAAAGAUGUUUCCACUUCACUGUAUUGUUGCUUUUGUGUUUAUGAACUCCACACAUCAGCAGUACGUGCCUUGUAGUGUGAUAUUUAAUGUAUUUUUACAUGUAAGUUUGCUUUGUGGGACUUUCUAAAUUGCUUAUACUGAAGGAAAUCUCAAGAGAAAAAAAAGGUUCGCGGCCAUCUUGCCUUGUGUUAGCAUGUAAAACCACCUCUCUACUUCCUUGCAGCUCUGUGGUUUCUUCUACAACAGUAGAGAUUAACGGUAGCAGGUUAUCUAUUUUUUGUUUCUUGGAAAGAGAGAAUCAUGGCAGGGAAAGAGAAGAGAAGCCAGCGAGAAUCCCCUGAUCAGCCAACUCUCCCUAGAUCAGAUGCUCUCUGUCUGUGAACAUCUGCCUUAAAAGACAGCACCUGUUCAAAAAUAUACCAAUAAUUAAGUGCUCAUAUGUCAAAUAUUGCAUGGGAUGCUUAAAAGUCGGUAAUAAUUGUUCCCUCUAAAGUAACCUGGCUAUAGGUUUCAGCUGAAAAUAACAUUCAAAAGCCAAAGCUAGUGCAUCUGCUUCUGUGGUUGGAAUGACAGGACGGUGCAUGUACAGCCAUGAGCACAUUAUAACAUUUGAUAUUUUUAAUCAAAUCCCAUUUUAAGGUGCAAUGUGUUUUACUCUGUUAAAGGUCAUUUUAGUUACAGUAGCAUUAAGGGUUUUCAAUAAAACAUUUUAAAUGCCAGUUAUAUAACUGCUU